UUAAUGCAAUGAUUGAUUGAAUGUUUCCGUAACUGAAUUACAUAUGAUAUUUCAAAAUGAUUUCUUCUUUCUAGGUUUUCAGAUUUAUUCACUUCUUCAACCCAAAUCUCUCGGCUUUUAGGUUUAUUCUUCUUUCAAUAUGGUUUUUCUUUUUGGUUUAUUCUUCUUUCUAGGUUUUUAUUUUGAUUCACUUCUGCAACCCAAAUCUCCCAGCUUUCAGGUUUGAUUUUCUUUUCUCAAUUCUUCUUUACAAUUCUUAUAUUCCAAUCUGUGUAUGAGUAAUUCCUUAAUUUUUGUGGGUUUUAUUUGUUCCCCAAAACUAUCAAUGGAGGGAAUAGUUUUGGGUGGUGCAAACUCAAUGGAAGGAACUUCUAUCUGUGUUACACCAAUUCCUGGUGGUUUAUUCUUUUUGGCUUAUGAAGUUGGUUGUAGGUGUUUUCGAAUAUGGGUUCUCAUUCAAAUCGGCUUAAUCAUGUAUAUGGCACAGGAAGUUGUUAAUUUACACCACCACAUUUAGUCAUGUAUUGAUGCUCAUCCUUUGCACCAACCUUUCAGUCGUUGCUCUUAAUUGAUAUACACACCUGAAUACCAGAAGAAAUUUCUAAGAAGGAUCCUGUAUAGAUAUUGCAGUCCUCCCAUUUCACUGUUCUUUACACCCUGAAAUGCAGGGAAUAGUUUUGGGUCUUUCGUGAAAUGCUUACAUGGCCAGCAAAAAUAAAGUUUGCUAUUGGACUCUUGCCAGAAUCGGUUGGUCGACACGCUUAUGCGGAGCUCAAGAUGGCUUCAGCGUCAAAAAAGUGGAUGAGGAAACAUGUAUCAAACUUAAAUUCGUUUCAGGGAUUGAUUGAUAGAUUAAAUUUGAAAUAGUGGCCGAAAGUCUACAAUUGGUGAGGGUAGAAACAUCUUUUUCCGCAGUAUCAUGUUCAUCAUCAGAAAUUUAAAACUGGUGAAGGCAGAAACAUUUCAGAUUCAAAAGAAAUGGUUUUCCAUGUUUGUAACCUAACUCAGAUGGUGUAAUGCCUUCAUACAUAUGGAGGUAACAUUGUUACGACUUGAGAUUGCUCACUUCUGCAGAAUAAGAACGUUUGUAAAAUGAUCUCGAUUUAAAUCUCCUUGAUGGUGUAUCAGUUUAAACUCAAGAUGGCAUUUUGCUUGGUGUGGUAUUUAUGCUUGGUCACAAGAAAUAUGUGAUAUUUAACUUGAGAACCUCUUAAUUUCAUACGCUUUUACUCCUACAAUCCUUGGAUAAUGGUCUUUGUAACAUGUAACACUGUUCUAAAUUGAUUUUUGUUAGUCGUCGAAUCUUUAUUUUUCAUUGUCGUUGGAAUACAU